rnacentral:rRNA from 1 species
GACGAACGCUGGCGGCGUGCUUAACACAUGCAAGUCGAACGGAAAGGCCCUGCUUUUGUGGGGUGCUCGAGUGGCGAACGGGUGAGUAACACGUGAGUAACCUGCCCUUGACUUUGGGAUAACUUCAGGAAACUGGGGCUAAUACCGUAUAGGAGCUCCUGCUGCAUGGUGGGGGUUGGAAAGUUUCGGCGGUUGGGGAUGGACUCGCGGCUUAUCAGCUUGUUGGGGGGGUAGUGGCUUACCAAGGCUUUGACGGGUAGCCGGCCUGAGAGGGUGACCGGCCACAUUGGGACUGAGAUGCGGCCCAGACUCCUACGGGAGGCAGCAGUGGGGAAUAUUGCACAAUGGGCGGAAGCCUGAUGCAGCAACGCCGCGUGCGGGAUAACGGCCUUCGGGUUGUAAACCGCUUUCGCCUGUGACGAAGCGUGAGUGACGGUACUGGGUAAAGAAGCACCGGCUAACUACGUG